UUUUUUUUUCCCAAGUGUUCAUCCAAAACUCAAACAUCUCUCACCCUCACACGGUUUCACUCUCGUAACAACCUAUCGCCUCAAACCCUUACAUUAGUAACAGCGUUGAUUUUGUCUCAUGUCUCAGCAUCGAUUUGCCUUGUCACCCGCCAUCGAUUUGGCCAUCAUCGAGAUCCACAUGAGGAACCCACUGAACGUGUGCUGCCACCGUUGCAUUUCAAAACCCUAACUGAAAACCCACCAUUGAUUAAGCUCAAUUUUUUUAUUAACACAGGUAAUUAUUCUCCUUAUUUUCUCUUGCAUUUCAAUUUAAUUAAAUUUUUUUGUCAAUUUCAACACUAAAGGUGUAGUUCUAAGCACUGAAGGUUUAUCUAAAAUUUGUUCAUUGUGUUGGAAAAAUGGAAUUUUUCCUUAAAAGUUAUGUGCACAAAUGUACUAGUUUGUUGAAAUGAACGAAAUCUGAACCUUUAGAAUGAUUUCGGUUUUGUUCUUGUGCGGCUAAUGACCUUAACAUUUUGUCCAGUUUUCAAAUUGGGGAUCCAAUUAUUUUCUUCUUAGUUCUUGCACGGUCGAUCUUCUUUGUUGGCCGAGGGCUUUGCACCUAUGCUUCCAUUGAUGUUAUCGCAGCCAACACAGUCGAUUUGGGUCUUUUAAUACUUGAUUCUUUGAGGACAAGUAACAUGUUUGCUUCAUGGACAUUUGUUGGAGCAAAGACUUUAGUAGAUAAUAAUGCUACUUCUGAGGUUAGCUUGACUUUGAUGCUCUGUUUUUGUAUGCAUUUAGUUACUGUACAAUUUUUGUUGCAAAGGCCUUAUUUGCUUAGCUUAGUUUUGCUUACUCAAUUAGUUAUAAUUUUUUGAAUUUGGCUGUGGUUUUUUGCAAAAUUUCUUUCCAAUCCAUAUUAGUUCACCUUUCUAACCAACUUGGAUAUAAAGACUGCGUCUAUUGGCUGUGGUUUUUUGCAAAAUGCCGUUCCAAUCCAUUUUAUAUAUUAUUAAUCUUUCAUUUGCAAUUGGUAUCGUAUGAAUAGCUUCAAUAUUGAAAUUUUAAUGAGUUUUUGAAGCUAGCUGUAGGAUGUGCAGGAAUUUAUUUUACCUUUCUGACCAGCCUGGAUAUAUUAUUAAAACUCUAUCUAUUAGAUAUGCUUUUUGCAACUUUUCUUUUCAAUUCCUAUGAUUUACUUAUCAAUCUAUGCUCCAGAGCCUUAUGCCAAGAAUGGUUUUGCAUUUUAAUCAUAUUUCCUGCUACUCAAUGUGAUGAUUUUAUUUUUCACUUGGUGGACAGAGAGUUGGGUUUUACCUUUUCAUUUUCUAUUAGCAAACGUUGGCCGAGGGCUUUGCACCUAUGCUUCCAUUGAUGUUAUCGCAGCCAACACAGUCGAUUUGGGUCUUUUAAUACUUGAUUCUUUGAGGACAAGUAACAUGUUUGCUUCAUGGACAUUUGUUGGAGCAAAGACUUUAGUAGAUAAUAAUGCUACUUCUGAGGUUAGCUUGACUUUGAUGCUCUGUUUUUGUAUGCAUUUAGUUACUGUACAAUUUUUGUUGCAAAGGCCUUAUUUGCUUAGCUUAGUUUUGCUUACUCAAUUAGUUAUAAUUUUUUGAAUUUGGCUGUGGUUUUUUGCAAAAUUUCUUUCCAAUCCAUAUUAGUUCACCUUUCUAACCAACUUGGAUAUAAAGACUGCGUCUAUUGGCUGUGGUUUUUUGCAAAAUGCCGUUCCAAUCCAUUUUAUAUAUUAUUAAUCUUUCAUUUGCAAUUGGUAUCGUAUGAAUAGCUUCAAUAUUGAAAUUUUAAUGAGUUUUUGAAGCUAGCUGUAGGAUGUGCAGGAAUUUAUUUUACCUUUUUGACCAGCCUGGAUAUAUUAUUAAAACUCUAUCUAUUAGAUAUGCUUUUUGCAACUUUUCUUUUCAAUUCCUAUGAUUUACUUAUCAAUCUAUGCUCCAGAGCCUUAUGCCAAGAAUGGUUUUGCAUUUUAAUCAUAUUUCCUGCUACUCAAUGUGAUGAUUUUAUUUUUCACUUGGUGGACAGAGAGUUGGGUUUUACCUUUUCAUUUUCUAUUAGCAAACAUCAAUAGCAUCAUGAGAUCUUAUACAAUGGACUAAGGGCUGCUCUACAGAUGAUAUGGUUAAUCGUACUUUCUCUACUUCUGUUUUGUAGCAUUUUAAUAAUGAUCCUACAACUAGAUAAUUGUAGUUGUAGCUUCCAGACUUGUUGAUUGUCCAAAAUAAGUGUUAACUGCAUUGAUAGUUUGUCAUUCUUGCAUACAAAUAGACACUUUAGGUAUCAUAUAAAGCUGCAAAAAUUAAGGGUUGUGAGGAAUUGUUUGAUGCAAUUUUCAGAUGUUUCAUUGUAGUAUAUUUGCAUAUUUUCAUCCAUCAAAUUUUUUAUUCAAUAAUAUGAUAUACUUUUAUCAGAUCAUUGUAAACAUAUGAAAAAGUCACCUUUCACAAUGAUAGUAACCUUUUUGCUCUGUUUUAGAAUUACUUUGAUUUCCCUAUAUUACUUUUGAUUUGCAUAUCAGCAUCUUAAAAUUUGUUGCUAUUCUAGUCUUAUACUUAAGUAGUCAACAUACACAUAAAUACUUUCAUUACUAAAGAAAUUUAGUUUAGUCUGCGCCUUUGCUUAUAGUUAGCAGUCAAAUCUUUCAUCUGAUUUGCAGUGUUUCAUUCUCCAUUCAAGCACGUAGGAGUUAAGAUUGCUUGAAAAGCUUUCCAUGAGGAAAGGCGUGAACUUCAUUUCUUUGAUGAAUUUACUAAUUUACUUUUAUCAUUUGCUUACACUUAGAAUUAAUUAUAUCAUACAUUGCCUCAAAAUCACUUUAGGUACUCAAGUCUUAUUUUCAAAACACCAAAACCUCAUUCAAUUCUUUUUAAUGCAGCCUUAUAUACUUACACUUUUGUUUAGACCUUAUG
rnacentral:lncRNA from 1 species